rnacentral:misc_RNA from 1 species
UUUUGGCUAAUUGUUGCUUCCCUUCCGGAUAUAAGCUGGGUUGGUGGCUUUUAUGCUGAGUGGUUUCGGGAAUGUAACCGUAAAGGUGCAUGAGUGGUGUUUGGCUUGUUUCUGGUGGUUGGCUCCUUGCUUUCGCAACCAACUUCCACCUGGCAGGCCUCUUCAGUUGUCCGUAUGUGCAUGUAUCGCCCUGAAUCAUUGUGGGUUUCUUGUGUUGCAUUCCUGAAUGACGGUAUCGUUUGGUAAAUUGGCUUGUUUUCUUCUUGUGUCGCAAUUGCGAUGCGGGAUGAAACUUUAGGCAACGUCUUGUGAACCACUCCUUCGAAGCAUAUGCAUCGGUUUUGUGGCUCAUUGGGUGUUCCUUGGUCUCAUCGAUACGGAACCUUUUGUGGGCAAGAGGUAUUUAAGAAGCUCAUUGUUUGCCCUUGUUAAGCUUUUCAAAUACGAUUUCCUACCGUGUCUUUUGCGGUAGGUGAUAUCGAAUAUGAAUG